rnacentral:rRNA from 1 species
GAUGAACGCUAGCGGCAGGCUUAAUACAUGCAAGUCGAGGGGCAGCAGGGUGUAGCAAUACAUCGCUGGGCGACCGGCAAACGGGUGCGGAACACGUACGCAACCUUCCUUCAAGUGAAGGAAUACGCCCGAAGGGAAACUUGGAUUAAUACCUCGUAACAUUGUGAAGUGGCAUCUACUUUAUAAUUAUAGCUCAGGCGCUUGAAGAGUGGGCGUGCGACUGAGUUAGGUAGUUGGCGGAGUAACAGCCCACCAAGCCUGCGAUCAGUAACUGGUGUGAGA